rnacentral:rRNA from 1 species
GUGUCAGCAGCCGCGGUAAUACGUAUGGGGCAAGCGUUAUCCGGAUUUAUUGGGCGUAAAGAGCGCGUAGGCGGAUUGUUAAGUCAGAUGUGAAAUCCGGGGGCUCAACCCGCGGUCUGCAUCUGAAACUGGCAGUCUUGAGUCUGGUAGAGGAAAGUGGAAUUCCCAGUGUAGCGGUGAAAUGCGCAGAUAUUGGGAGGAACACCAGUGGCGAAGGCGGCUUUCUGGGCCACGACUGACGCUGAGGCGCGAAAGCUAGGGGAGCAAACAGGAUUAGAUACCCGCGUAGUCC